AGGGGUGGCGUGUGCUCGUUCCGCGCGGGGGGCCCUGGGGCGACUCCGUGGCGGCGACGCUGCGGGCGCAGGGUGCUGUGCCGGUCAUCGCUCCCCUC
rnacentral:tRNA from 1 species